UGAAUACGAGAUGCUACGGCGUCGAAGCAGUCUAUGUCAUACUUCCAAGAAAAGCUUGCACUGUCAUAAACAAAUAAUGCCUGUACCAUAACCGACACAGGUGGGUAGGUAGAGUAUACUAAGGGGCGCGAGAUAACUCUCUCUAAGGAACUCGGCAAAAUGACUCCGUAACUUCGGGAGAAGGAGUGCCUUAUUUAUAAGGUUGCAAUAACAAGAUCCAAGCAACUGUUUACCAAAAACACAGGUCUCCGCUAAGUCGUAAGACGAUGUAUGGGGGCUGACGCCUGCCCAGUGCCAGAAGGUUAAAGAAGUUGGUUAGCAUCCGCGAAGCUGAUAACUGAAGCCCUGGUGAACGGCGGCCGUAUCGAUAACGGUCCUAAGGUAGCGAAAUUCCUUGUCGGGUAAGUUCCGACCCGCACGAAAGGCGUAAUGAUUUGGAUACUGUCUCGGAGAGGGGCUCGGUGAAGUAGACUUGUCUGUGAAGAUGCGGACUACCUGCACCAGGACAGAAAGACCCUAUGAAGCUUUACUGUAACCUGAAAUUGAAAUUGGACUUUACUUGCGCAGUAUAGGUGGGAGGCGUUGAGAAUAUUCUUGCGGGAUUAUUGGAGCCAUCAGUGAGAUACCACUCUUGUAAUGUUAGAUUUCUAACUUUGUAUCAUUAUCUGGUCAAAGAACAGUUUCAGGCGGGCAGUUUGACUGGGGCGGUCGCCUCCUAAACGGUAACGGAGGCGCACAAAGGUUUCCUCUGAACGGGUAGAAAUCGUAUCUAGAGUGUAAAGGCAUAAGGAAGCUUGACUGUGAGACCUACAAGUCGAGCAGGGACGAAAGUCGGUCUUAGUGAUCUGACGGUGCUGAGUGGAAAGGCCGUCACUCAACGGAUAAAAGUUACUCUAAGGAUAACAGGCUGAUCUCCCCCAAGAGUUCACAUCGACGGGGAGGUUUGGCACCUCGAUGUCGGCUCAUCGCAUCCUGGGGCGGUAGUACGUCCCAAGGGUUGGGCUGUUCGCCCAUGAAAGCGGUACGCGAGCUGGGUUCAGAAUGUCGUGAGACAGUUCGGUCCAUAUCCGGUGUAAGCGUUAGAAUACUGAGAGGAGCCUUCUUUAGUACGAGAGGACCGAGAAGGACAUACCUCUGGUGUACCAGUUAUCGUGCCAACGGUAAACGCUGGGUAGCUAUGUGUGGAGUGGAUAACCGCUGAAAGCAUCUAAGUGGGAAGCCCACCUCAAGAUAAGUAUUCUC
rnacentral:rRNA from 1 species